GCCAACGUCCAUACCACGUUGAAUACACCGGUUCUCGUCCGAUCACCGAAGUUAAGCAACGUCGGGCGCGGUCAGUACCGUUAUAGUCU
rnacentral:rRNA from 1 species